rnacentral:lncRNA from 1 species
CCUCUUCGACCCCUCUCUCCUCCCCCUCUCCCUCUCCGCUCACCACCCCGACUCCCUCUUCAUCGCCCACGACCUCCACUACUGCUCCUACUCCGAUCCCCUCCUCGCCCUCGACCUCCUGAACCCUAACCCUAGCCCCUUCGACCUCUGCCCCUUCUUCGCCUUCGACCUCGACCUCGACCUCGCCGCCGCCGAUCUCGCCUCGUUCCGGCGCUUCCGCGAGCGCGCCGAGGCCGAGGCCUCGCUCCGCAGCCUCGGCGACCGCGUCGCCGCUCUCGAGCUAGGGUUCGACCGCGCCGUCGCCGGCGAUCGGAGGUA